rnacentral:rRNA from 1 species
UACGUAGGGUGCGAGCGUUGUCCGGAAUUACUGGGCGUAAAGAGCUCGUAGGUGGUUUGUCGCGUUGUUCGUGAAAACCGGGGGCUUAACCCUCGGCGUGCGGGCGAUACGGGCAGACUGGAGUACUGCAGGGGAGACUGGAAUUCCUGGUGUAGCGGUGGAAUGCGCAGAUAUCAGGAGGAACACCGGUGGCGAAGGCGGGUCUCUGGGCAGUAACUGACGCUGAGGAGCGAAAGCGUGGGGAGCGAAUGGG